GACGAACGCUGGCGGCGUGCCUAAUACAUGCAAGUAGAACGCUGAAGCGAGGAGCUUACUCUUCUUGGAUGAGUUGCGAACGGGUGAGUAACGCGUAGGUAACCUGCCUUGUAGCGGGGGAUAACUAUUGGAAACGAUAGCUAAUACCGCAUAACAAUGGAUGACACAUGUCAUUUAUUUGAAAGGGGCAAUUGCUCCACUACAAGAUGGACCUGCGUUGUAUUAGCUAGUAGGUGAGGUAAUGGCUCAGCUAGGCGACGAUACAUAGCCGACCUGAGAGGGGGGUAGGCCACACUGGGACGGAGACACGGCCCAGACGACUACGGGAGGCAGCAGUAGGGAACCUUAGGCAAUGGGGGCAAACCUGACCGAGCAACGCCGCGUGAGUGAAGAAGGUUUUCGGAUCGGAAAGCUCUGUUGUAAGUCAAGAACGGGUGUGAGAGUGGAAAGUUCACAGUGUGACGGUAGCUGAUCAGAAAGGGACGGCUAACUACGUG
rnacentral:rRNA from 1 species